rnacentral:rRNA from 1 species
UUACGCCAGCAUCCUAGCCGAAGCGCGGACCUCAGUCCCGGCUGGCCGUAUUACACCCUGGGCUAUAACACCUCCACCGAAGUGGAGGCCACAUUCCCAGAGCCUUUAUCCGGCCGCCGAAACUGAUGCUGGCCUGUCCAAACUGAGUAAACCGGUCAGAAGACCGGCCGAACAGUUUAAACAAGUCUGAUUGCAAGCGCUUCCCUUUCAACAAUUUCACGUGCUUUUUAACUCUCUUUCCAAAGUGCUUUUCAUCUUUCGAUCACUCUACUUGUGCGCUAUCGGUCUCUCGCCAAUAUUUAGCUUUAGAAGAAAUUUACCUCCCAUUUAGAGCUGCAUUCCCAAACAACUCGACUCGUCGAAGGAGAUUUACAUAGGGUGCCAUUUCCUGUCACAUACGGGAUUCUCACCCUCUAUGACGUCCUGUUCCAAGGAACUUAGACAGGCGGCUUCCCCAAAUCAUCCUCUACAAAUUACAAUGCGAACCCGAAGGCUAGCUUUCAAAUUUGAGCUGUUGCCGCUUCACUCGCCGUUACUAGGGCAAUCCC